rnacentral:rRNA from 1 species
UACGUAGGGCGCGAGCGUUGUCCGGAUUUAUUGGGCGUAAAGAGCUCGUAGGCGGUUUGUCGCGUCCGCUGUGAAAAUCCAGGGCUUAACCCUGGACCUGCAGUGGGUACGGGCAGACUAGAGUGCGGUAGGGGAGAUCGGAAUUCCAGGUGUAGCGGUGAAAUGCGUAGAUAUCUGGAGGAACACCGGUGGCGAAGGCGGCAUCCUGGACCGGUAUUGACGCUGAGGCGCGAAAGCCAGGGGAGCAAACGGG